AACGUAAAAGUCUGUCAUGUGCUGGUUUUCCCUCAGAGUCUGUCAGUAAAGGUGACCCCUGGUAAAGUCAAACCAGAGAACCGCAUGCGAGCUGAACAAGAGGAGAAAGCAGAGGAGAAGAGACUGGCUAUUAUGAUGAUGAAGAAGAAAGAGAAAUACCUCUAUGACAAGAUCAUGUUUGGCAAGAAGAGACACGUCAGAGAGGCCAACAAGCUAGCAGCUAAGAGGAAAGCUCACGAUGACUCCAACAAAGCCGACAAGAAGAAGAAGAAGAAAAAGUGCUGAUUUGUAUAUGUAUUAAAGUGCUUCUUGUGCUGUUGAGAGAUUUUGAGAAGUGUUUCUUCUCUCGUUUCAACGUAUUGCAUCAUUUAAUGGGAAUUGUACAUGAUGCACUGGACUCCUUGUGUCAUUUAAGUUUGCCCAAACUGGUUUCAGUAACACCUUUCUGCAUUUCUUAUGUCUUUGCUCAUCAGUUUUGACUGACACAUUUCUAAUAAACAUAAGAUAAUGAUUAUCUUUAAUGAAA